GUGAGUUUCUCGCGUAGUAUGUGUUAUUGUCACAACGAUGAGUUCGGUGCUAGCUGUGGAGUCUGCGGCGAACAAAGGGAUCCCAGCUGUGCUCUUUUGAAGCUUAUGUGAAAUUAUAACAACAAACAAAUGCAAAGCCAUAUAAAGUCAAAAUAAGAGCAAGGUUUAAAGGUCGUCGCUUUCUCGUCUGCAAUUCUGAAAUCCAGGAUCACGCCUGCAAUUUUGGUGAAUCAGGAUGAUGCUGUCACCAACCAAGAACUCACUGGAGGCGUGGCGUUUGACUUGGACUUGCGGAUCCACGCGAUGGGACUUCUCACUGCAGGAGGAGGCGUGGCGCUUCACCUGGGCCCCAGUGGGCCGUUCCAGCUUGUCGUCCUGGGUGGGAGAUGGAGGAAGGGCCCCACAAGACUUGUACCCAGGGGAGCCGUCGGCAGUAGCAGCUUGUCCUGGGCCGACCCCUGAGCCUGUCUCCAGGCCCCCUUUCCUCUGACUCCAGUGAGCUGACAGCAGCCCUGGACGGCCAACGCGGAGCCCGCCCGGGCUCUCUCCUGAUGCUCUUCUGUCCUAGGCCCUUCCUUGUUUCACUGUCUGCAGCUUCAGUGAACUUAGUCUCAAAAAAAAAUUAUCAGUGGUUAGCUGUCGGUCAAUGGGA